AACUCGUUUACUAAGAUUUCCCAUUAACACCAAUUUUGUUUCCUUGCGUUCGGUUGCAACCACUAAUAUCCAGCCAGGUAUAGCUCUCGUCCCCCUAAAACCAAACAAAAAACCUAUCCAACGACUGCAGCUAAGCGAUGACGACUGUAUUGAAACAGAAACAGCAAGUCGCCUAUGAAUCAAAGUCAUUUACUUUCCCCCUUCGGGCGUGAGCUAUUACAAUGUGACUGAAAACAAUUCCACGUCAUAAUUUUUAUAUAAAAGGCUGAAAGGUGGGAAAGACUUCAGUAUUCAAAGCUGAGAACUAAACCUCACGUGCUUCUCACCCCCAAGCCUCUCCGAUUCGCAAGCAGUUCUAGAUGCCCAUUUUAGUUCUUCAGAAAGCACAGUUGCCUCUUCUGGAUUCAGGACUCCAUCUCCAGCAUCAUGGUCUAAGGAGAAUCCACACAAAACAAAAGCAAACAUCUCAAAACCAGCUCUGUAUUCAGGAACCUCAGGGCUACGCAGCCUGAACGAGAGCUGAAGGAGACUCAGCGGGCAAGACUGUGUUGCCACAGCAUCUGUUUGGAUACCAGCCAUGUGCUCAGCAAUGUCCUAUCAAAAUCCAACUUAUGAUUGCAAUCCACCAUGGCAGCAUUGACACGGCUUCCCAGAUGACCUCUCUGCACUAUUUGUGCAGAUAAUGUAGUGCAAUAUCCAAGAAAUCACUACUCAAAAGUCACAAAGCAGGCCAGAGAGAUGAGUCAGAAGUUAAGAGCACUUACUGCUCUCACAGAGGACCCAGGUUUGGUUCCCAGCACCCAUAUUAGGUGGCUCACAACCACCUGUGACUUCAACGCCAGGGAUCCAACACUCUCUUCUGGCCUCCGUGGGCACAUACAUAGAUGUAGACACAUGCAUAUAAAUAAAAAUAAAUCUUAAAAAAUUACAUUAUAAAAUGGUUGCAGUCCAGACUGUGUGUUCUUCUAAUAGUGUUAUAAUUUUAGCUCUUAUUUGCAGGUCAGUGACGUAUUUUAAUUUUUUUGUUUCUUUUGUGGCAGGGUAUUCUUGUGUAGCCCAGGUUAGCCUUAAACAUGAUAUGUAGCCCAAAUGGGCCCAGAGCUUCUAAUCAUCUUACCUUACCUCAGGAAUGCUAGAUUUACAGGUACUAACAUCAUGCUUGGCUUGAGUUAACUGUAUGCAAUGCAUUUUUCUUUCUGUCAUUUUAGAUAAGUAUUCAGCCUACCAUGGUCCUUAUCUGAAAUGCAUAUCAUCAAAGUCUUGUAAAUAUUCCUCAAACACUAGAAAAAAUGAAAUCUUUUAAUGCCUUUUUUACUGAAAAGAAUCAAGUGGGAUAAUAGUCUCAAGUCUGUUAAAAUUUUCAAAGUAUUAAGGUGGUUUUCACUCAUUUAUACUUCCUAUUUAUCUCAGUUUGUUCUUGCUUCUUAAAAUUCCAUCUCUCAAGGAUGGAGAGAUGCGCAGUGGUUAACACCAUGUGCCGUUCUUGUAGAAGCCCCAUGUUUGGUUCUGAACACCCUUAAGAGGUGGCCCACAACCACCUGUAACUCUAGCUACACCCUUUUCUUCAGGACACGUGCACAUACUCCUCAGACAGAUAGAUAUAUGCACCUAAUUUUAAGAAACAAAAUCUUUGUAAAAAAUGAUAGCUCUUUAAAAUCAGAAAACAGCUGUUUUUAUGCAUUUUCUUUUCCCAUCUCAUAAAGUAAACUUUAAGAAAAUAUUUUACUCCACAGUCCUUUACUUUCUUCUCCCUUUUGUAAAUAGGACAUAUCUUAAAGAUCCAGGUAAUUUCUUCUAUCAUUCCCUUGUAAUUUUGAUUUGUUAAGCUUUUGCUGUUAUUUUACAUAUUUUGAGGGAUAGUUUCUAUAACUUGACCCUGACAGUUUAAGCAGUUAAGAUAUGCCAUCAAGAAUCAUGUUUGUCAGAGCGGUCACCCAAACCCUGUAUUCAAUGACAACGAGACUAGAAAUGGAUGACAGCAGAGUCACACACAGGUCCCAGUGGAGCAAUGUUAAGAACACACCAUGAUCAGUUUGGACUCUCCGGUCUAGAUGCUUACUGACAUGUGGACCACUGAUCCUUUGUUCUAUGACACAGGUGUGGACUCUCUCUGGACCCAAUGCCAGCUCUAAGUGAAAUUAUCUUUUCAAAUCUGACAAGUCAGUUUCAUUUUUAGAUGCUAUUAGUGAAAAUACAUGCAGGUAAGUCAAGAAAUAGUUCCUGCUGCUUUCACUUCCACAAUCAUUCCUUUCUGAAAAUCUGCGACUGAGGCAAACCUGUUCAUAAAACUACUUCAUGACUUGGCUCCUAAGGUCUAAGUCCUGCAGGAAAAGUAUUUAUGACAUUACUUAAGUCUUUAUAAUUAAACAAAACAAAACAAAACAAAACAUCUAACCAUCAUUCUACAAUCCUUUUUCUUUUUUAUAUGAAUCUUGUAACCCUCUAAUGUUGGGUGGUAGUGACAUGUGGAUAACAUUUUCCAAAUGCCCACUGUAGAAUACCAGGUAGUACAAUCUAUUUAAAAUACCCUCUGACAUCACUAAUGGAGGGUGACAGGGAGGAGGGAAAGAAAGUUACUGUGGAAGGUCACAGAGCUUCUAUUUGGGAGAAUGAAAAAGUUUUGGAAAUAUAUAGUUGUGACAGUUCAACAACAUUGUAGGUAUUAAUGCCACUGAAUUGUAAACUCAAAAAAAAUGUCUUCUAAAGUAAAUUUUAAGUUGACCACGACCAUAGGCACAUUCCUAUAAACCUAGCACCAGACACUGAGGCAGAAACUCAUGGCCAGACCAGGCUACAUAGGAGACACUGGUAAAGAACAAAACUAAAAGGUAAAUCUUAUGUUCUAUAUAUUUUACCACCAUAUAAAAGUUAAUAAGUCAUACUUGAAGACUAUUGAACAUGUUACCUGAAAGCAGCAAUGCUUUGAUGUCAAUCAUUUGAUAAAGUAGCAGAAGACACUGAGAAUAAUAAUUUUUCUUUGGCUUUUAACUACAGUUUAUCUUUAUGUGUCUGUGUGUCCAUGUAUGUGAACAUGUGUUUCAAGACCAGAGGUCAGCAUCAGGUGUCUUCCUCAAUGGGUUUUGCACAUUAUGUUUGGAGACAGGGUCUCUCAGUGGACCUGGAGCUCAGUGAUUUGGCCGUGUUAGCCAGUCAGCCCCAGGAACUCCAUCUCCACCUCCCCAACACAGAAAUUACAAGUGACUGCUUCCAUCCCCCACUUUUUAUGUGGGUUCUUGAGAUCCUAACUCAGGACCUCACCCUUGGAUGGAAAGCAAAUUACUGACUACGGUUAUGAUUUACCUUUUAAUUUUCUAAUUUUUAUAUGUUUAUGGGUGUUUUGUCUGAAUGUAUGUCUGUGUUUCAUGUGCAUGUCUGAUGCCCAAGGAGGCCAGAAGAGGAUCCCCUGGGACAGGAGUUGUAUAUACGUGGUUGUGAGCUUCCAUGUGUGUGUUGGGAUCAAACCUAGGACCUUGGAGGGGCAGCCAGUGCUCUUAAUCACUUAGCCAUUUAUCCAGCUCCGGAUUUACCUUUUAGAGAGAAAAUAUCAUAGAAGCAGAAUAAAGUGACAAACA